rnacentral:rRNA from 1 species
CACGUAGGGUGCGAGCGUUGUCCGGAAUUAUUGGGCGUAAAGAGCUCGUAGGCGGUGUGUCGCGUCGGCCGUGAAAACCUGCAGCUUAACUGUGGGCGUGCGGUCGAUACGGGCAUCACUGGAGUUCGGCAGGGGAGACUGGAAUUCCUGGUGUAGCGGUGAAAUGCGCAGAUAUCAGGAGGAACACCGAUGGCGAAGGCAGGUCUCUGGGCCAUAACUGACGCUGAGAAGCGAAAGCAUGGGGAGCGAACAGG